GGGGAUGUGGCUCAAGAGGUAGUGCGCUCGCCUGGCAUGCGUGGGUCGCUGGGUUCAAUCCUCACCACCACA
rnacentral:tRNA from 1 species